CAGGCCUAACACAUGCAAGUCCAACGUGAAAGGGGAGCAAUCCCCCGGUACGGUGGCGAACGGGUGAGUAAUACAUGGCAUGCAAGUCGAACGGCAACAGUUACUAGCUUGCAGUAAGCUGGCGAGUGGCGAACGGGUGAGUAACGCGUGGGAAUAUGCCUUAAAGAGGGGGAUAACUUGGGGAAACUCAAGCUAAUACCGCAUAAUGUCUGAGGACAAAAGCUAGGGACCUUCGGGCCUGGCGCUUUAAGAAUAGCCUGCGUCUGAUUAGCUUGUUGGUGAGGUAACGGCUGCACCAAGGCUUCGAUCAGUAGCUGGUUUGAGAGAGCGACCAGCCACACUGGGACUGAGACACGGCCCAGACUCCUACGGGAGGCAGCAGUGGGGAAUCUUGGACAAUGGGGGAAACCCUGAUCCAGCCAUGCCGCGUGAGUGAUGAAGGCCCUAGGGUUGUAAAGCACUUUCAGUGGGGAGGAGGAUAUAAAUGUUAAGAGCUAUUAUAUUGGACGGUACCCGCAGAAGAAGCUCCGGCUAACUCCGUGCCAGCAGCCGCGGUAAUACGGAGGGUGCGAGCGUUAAUCGGAAUUACUGGGCGUAAAGGGUGCGUAGGUGGUUAAUUAAGUUAGAUGUAAAAACCCUGGGCUUAACCUGGGACUGAGAUUUAAUACUGAUUAACUGGAGUAUGAGAGAGGGUAGUGGAAUUUCCGGUGUAGCGGUGAAAUGCGUAGAGAUCGGAAGGAACACCAGUGGCGAAGGCGGCUACCUGGCUUAAUACUGACACUGAGGCACGAAAGCGUGGGCGAGCAAACAGGAUUAGAUACCCUGGUAGUCCACGCUGUAAACGAUGUCAACUAGCCGUUGGUCAUAUAAAGGUGAUGAGUGGCGCAGCAAACGCGAUAAGUUGACCGCCUGGGGAGUACGGUCGCAGAUUAAAACUCAAAGGAAUUGGACGGGGGCCCGCACAAGCGGUGGAGCAUGUGGUUUAAUUCGAUGCACGCGAGAACUUACCUACCCUUGACAUACAACGAUUCUAGUAGAGAUAUUGGAGUGCUUCCGGAGCGUUGAAACAGGUGCUGCAUGCUGUCGUCAGCCUCGUGUCGUGAGAUGUUGGGGUAAGUCCCGUAACGAGGGGCACCCUUAUUCUUAGUUGCCAGCUCGCCAGCUCUGCAAGCUAGUAACUGUUGCCGUUCGACUUGCAUGAUGUCGCGGUGAAUACGUUCCCGGGCCUUGUACACACCGCCC
rnacentral:rRNA from 1 species